rnacentral:rRNA from 1 species
UACGGGGGGGGCAAGCGUUGUUCGGAAUUUACUGGGCGUAAAGGGCUCGUAGGCGGCCAACUAAGUCCGACGUGAAAUCCCAAGGCUUUAACCUUGGAACUGCGUCGGAUACUGGAUGGCUUGAAUUCGGGAGAGGGAUGCAGAAUUCCAGGUGUAGCGGUGAAAUGCGUAGAUAUCGAGAGGAACACCUGCGGCGAAGGCGGGUUGCUGGGCUGACACUGACGCUGAGGCGCGAAAGCUAGGGGAGCGAACGGG